AUUCCAGCUCCAAUAGCGUAUAUUAAAGUUGUUGCAGUUAAAAAGCUCGUAGUUGGAUUUCUGGUUGAAGCGACCGGUCGGGCGUUGAUUCGUCUGCACUGGAGUCGGUUUUGGCCAUCCUCUAGGAAAGUGCGUCUGGUAUUAAGUUGUCGGGCGUAUGAUCCUGGUCUUUUACUGUGAAAAAAUUAGAGUGUUUAAAGCAGGCCUUCGCCUUGAAUACAUUAGCAUGGAAUAAUAAGAUAGGACUUUGGUCUAUUUUGUUGGUUUGCAGACCGAAGUAAUGAUUAAUAGGGAUAGUUGGGGGUAUUUAUAUUCCGAUGUCAGAGGUGAAAUUCUUAGAUUUUCGGAAGAUAAACUUAUGUGAAAGCAUUUACCAAGGAUGUUUUCAUCA
rnacentral:rRNA from 1 species